GACGAACGCUGGCGGCGUGCUUAACACAUGCAAGUCGAACGGAGACAUUAGCAAUAAUGUUUUAGUGGCGAACGGGUGAGUAACGCGUUGGUGACCUGCCCCGAAGAGAGGGAUAACAGUUCGAAAGGAUUGCUAAUACCCCAUGUGGUUGUUUGGAUUAGAUGCCUUACAACUAAACGGAUUUAUUCGCUUCGGGAGGGGCCUGCGUCCCAUCAGCUAGUUGGUAGGGUAAUGGCCUGCCAAGGCUAUGACGGGUAGGGGACCUGAGAGGGUGGCCCCCCACAAUGGAACUGAAACACGGUCCAUACACCUACGGGUGGCAGCAGUAGGGAAUAUUGGUUAAUCUGCGAAAGCGGGAACCAGCAACGCCGCGUGCACGAUGAAGGCCUUCGGGUUGUAAAGUGCUUUUUGAGAGGAUGAGGAAGGACAGUACUCUUAGAAUAAGCUUCGGCUAACUACGUGCCAGCAGCCGCCGUAACAC
rnacentral:rRNA from 1 species